rnacentral:rRNA from 1 species
CGUAGGGGGCAAGCGUUGUCCGGAUUUAUUGGGCGUAAAGAGCGUGUAGGCGGCCAGGUAGGUCGGUUGUGAAAACUAGAGGCUCAACCUCCAGCUGUCGACGGAAACCGUGUGGCUAGAGUCCGGAAGAGGAGAGUGGAAUUCCGUGGUGUAGCGGUGAAAUGCGCAGAUAUCAGGAAGAACACCAAUGGCGAAGGCAGCUCUCUGGGACGGUACUGACGCUGAGACGCGAAAAGCGUGGGGAGCGAACAGG